GCCUGGGUGGCUCAGUCGGUUGAGCGUCUGACUUCGGCUCAGGUCAUGAUCUCGCAGUUUGUAAGUUCGAGCCCUGCGUCAGGCU
rnacentral:tRNA from 1 species